UAAUCUCCUUCUUGCCUCUCGCUCUUGGCUUUUGAAUUUGAGCUUCUCCACCCCAAAAUUGAAAUAUGGUUCAGUCAUUCUCUUUGACUCCUUCUUGGCUUCGCAGGCUCGCAGCUUCUGCCAUCACUUGCUUUGUGCCACCAUCGAUUGAUUACAGGCUCGUGGCUCGCGGCUCGCAAGUCCCACUGUUGCUUGCUUCAUCAGUCACUCUCUGUUCAUUCAUUAUCCUUCCUAUGGCAGCAGAAUAGUUGGAUAUCGAUGGAGAUGAUGCUUUCACUGCAAUGGAAGGUUCCUUACACAAAUGGAGAUUGGGGUUCAAAUAUAUAAGCAUGCUGAGGUGGAGAAGUAUCUUCAAGGACUGGACAAAUAUAACUUAUGAUUACCACAGUGACUACAAUACUAGCCAAUCAACAAUGAUUGCAAGAAAAUUAGGAACAGUGACAAGAAGAGUUGUU